AAACUAACUUCGAUGGGUUUG
rnacentral:miRNA from 1 species